rnacentral:rRNA from 1 species
CCUACGGGUGGCUGCAGUGGGGAAUAUUGGGCAAUGGGCGCAAGCCUGACCCAGCAACGCCGCGUGAAGGAAGAAGGCUUUCGGGUUGUAAACUUCUUUUAAGAGGGAAGAGCAGAAGACGGUACCUCUCGAAUAAGCCACGGCUAACUACGUGCCAGCAGGCGCGAUAAUACGUAGGUGGCAAGCGUUGUCUGGAUGUACUGGGUGUACAGGGCGCGCAGCCGGGAAGACAAGUCAGAUGUGAAAUCCCGCGGCUCAACCGCGGAACGGCAUUUGAAACUGUUUGUCUAGAGUACCGGAGAGGUCAUCGGAAUUCCUUGUGUAGCAGUGAAAUGCGUAGAUAUAGGGAAGAACACCAGUGGCGAAGGCGGAUGACUGGACGGCAACUGACGGUGAGGCGCGAAGGCGUGGGGAGCAAACAGGAUUAGAUACCCUAGUAGUC